AGAAAGGCCAUCAAGGAGCAAAAUUCUAAGAAAGAGUUGACAAAGGAUUCGAGAGAGCCUGACCUGGACUCGAAAAAUAUAUCAUCAGAUACUCCUGCAAAUGGAGGUUCAAAUCCUCAUGAGUCCAAAAACAACCAAAGUGAACUUUCAGCUACCGAGAAGCAAGAAGUGCAGAACAAACUGACCAAACUUCUGUCAAUGCUGGAUGAGAUUGAUAGAAGGUACAGACAAUAUUAUCAUCAGAUGCAAAUAGUGGUCUCAUCAUUUGAUGUAGUAGCUGGAGAUGGAGCAGCAAAACCAUACACAGCUCUUGCUCUUCAGACAAUUUCCAGACACUUUCGUUGCUUGCGUGAUGCAAUCUGCGAUCAGAUUCGAGCAUCACGAAGAAGUCUUGGAGAGCAAGAUGCUUCAGAAAACAGCAAAGCGAUUGGAAUAUCACGCCUGCGUUUUGUGGAUCAGCAUAUUAGACAGCAGAGAGCCCUGCAGCAGCUUGGUAUGAUGCAACAACAUGCCUGGAGGCCUCAGAGGGGAUUGCCUGAAAGCUCUGUUUCAGUUUUGCGUGCUUGGCUCUUUGAGCACUUUCUUCAUCCCUACCCGAAAGAUUCUGAAAAAAUUAUGCUAGCAAGGCAAACUGGCUUAACGAGAAGUCAGGUAUCAAAUUGGUUCAUAAAU
rnacentral:misc_RNA from 1 species